rnacentral:lncRNA from 1 species
GAAGGCUGAGGUGUGCGCCUUUUUUUUUUUUUCCUUCUUAGUCGUGUGUACAUCAUUGGGAAUGGAGGGAAAUAAAUGACUGGAUGGUCGCUGCUUUUUGAGUUUCAAAUUGACAUUCUAGACAAGCGGUGCCUGAGCCCGUGCCUGUCUUCAGAUCUUCACAGCACAGUUCCUGGGAAGGUGGAGCCACCAGCCUCUCCCUGAAUAACUGGGAGAUGAAACAGGAAGCUCUAUGACACACUUGAUCGAAUAUGACAGACACCGAAAAUCACGACUCAGCCCCCUCCAGCACCUCUACCUGUUGCCCGCCGAUCACAGCCGGAAUGCAGCUGAAAGAUUCCCUGGGGCCUGGUUCCAACCGCCCACUGUGGACUCUGAGGCCUCUGCAUUUGCGGGUGGUCUGCCUGUGAUAUUUUGGUCAUGGGCUGGUCUGGUCGGUUUCCCAUUUGUCUGGCCAGUCUCUAUGUGUCUUAAUCCCUUGUCCUUCAUUAAAAGCAAAACUAAAGAAAACAGAA